UACGUAGGAGGCGAGCGUUGUCCGGAGUUACUGGGCGUAAAGGGCGCGCAGGCGGCCAGUCGCGUUCCGGGUGAAAGCUCCGAGCUAAACUCGGAGAGGUUCCGGAAAACGGGCUGGCUUGAGCGUCGGAGAGGGGCAUGGAACUCCGGGUGGAGCGGUGAAAUGCGUAGAGAUCCGGAAGAACACCAAUGGCGAAGGCAGUGCCCUGGCCGACUGCUGACGCUCAGGCGCGAAAGCGUGGGGAGCAAACAGG
rnacentral:rRNA from 1 species